UUUCUGGUCAAAUUUAUUACAUGAUAAAUUAGUAUAUUGUUAUACAAUCAUUUCAAUAUAGAGUGUAUAACAGCAUGCACAUCUCUGUCCCCCAGCCCAAGAAACAGCACAUUCAGCAUGCACCACUGAAGCUCCUGGAGUAAACCUCCAGCCCUGGUCCUCGGCCCCCGCCUGGAGAAGUAACCAUGUGGAUUCAGCACUCCUGGCCCUCCGCACUGCUCCAUACUUUCAUACUCACGUUGGAAACAAUGAGUAGUGUUGUGUUGUUUGUUUGAACACUCUGGAUACACCAGCAUCAUAUUGGACAUAUACUUCUGUGGCCAGGUGGUCUUCUUCCAUCCUUAUGUCUUUUAUCUUCAUCCAUUUUGACGUGUGCAGCUCUAGUCCAUUUAUUUUUACUGCUCUCUAGAACUCCACUGUUGGGCACUCCCACAUUAUCCCCUCUCCCAUAGAUGGAAACUUAGAUGUUUUCAUAAUGACAAACAAAUGCCGCAGUCAACACGUGUGCACAUUCAUGCGCAUGCCCAUGGCUGGAACUGUGGGGUCAAGGAUGGGCACAUCUUCAGUUCUACUCAGAAUGCCCCUUUGCAUUCCAGUGUGGUGGGAUUGAUGCCCAUGCUCCCUGGCAGUAUUGGAGAAUUCCCACUGCUCCACCCCCACACCACCCCACUGUACACCUUCCUACACUUAGUUCCUAUUCCCUUCCUGGACUCACCGCGUUUCUGCCACCCUGGCCUCGAUGUUCCAUGUAUGUACCAGGCACUCAUGCCUUGGAACUUUUACACUGGCUGUUCCCUCUUCCACAAAUGCUGUUACCCAGGUACAGUCAUGUUCUCUCCUUCCUUUCUUCAAGUCUCUGUGCAAAUGUCACCUUCUCAGUGCAACCUAUUGGGGCCACCUUAUUCACAACUGUACCCAAUCCUUGCUCCUGGCACUUCUCCUUUAUCACCUACACCUUUAUCACCUUCUAAUAACCUAUGUGAUUCACUCACCAAUUUUAUUUCUUUGUCUCUUCCCACCAAAAUGUAAUAUCCAGGUGGUGAGGGAUUGUUGUUGAUUUUGUUUCCUGGUAUUUCCUAAGUUCUGAGGAGAGUGCUUGGCACAUAAUAGGCAUUCAGUAAAUACUUGCUGAACACAUGGAUGGAUGAAUGGAAGAAUGGAUGGAAGGAUGGAAGGAUGGAUGGAUGAAGUGAUCAAUGGAUGAUGGGAUGAAUGGAUGGAUGGAUGAAGGGACGAAGGGAUGGAUGGAUGGUUGGAUGGAGCAAUGGAUGGAUGGAUAGAUCAAUGGAUGGAUGGAUGAAAAGAUGAAUGGAUGAAUGGAUGGAAAAAUGGAUGAAGGGAUGAAGAGUAAAUGGAUGGAUGGAUGGAUGGAGGAAUGGACAUAUGGAUAAAGGGAUGAAUGGGUGAAUGGAUGGAUAAAGGGAUGGAUGGAAGUAAAUGGACGGAUGGAUAAAUGAAUGGAUGGAUGAAGGGGUGAAUGAAUGGUAGACGAUGGAUGAAGGGAUGAGUUGAUGAAGGAAUGGAUGGAUGAAUGGGUGGAUGGAUGGAUGGACGGAUGGAUGAAGGGAUGAAUGGAAGGAAGGAAGGAUGGAUGGAUGGAUGGAUGAAGGGAUGAAUGAGUGGAUGGAUGGAUGGAUGGACGGAUGGAUGAAGGGAUGAAUGGAAGGAAGGAUGGAUGGAUGGAUGAAGGGAUGGAUGGAUUGAUGAAGGGACGGAUGGCUGGAUGGAGUGAUGGAUGAAGGGAUGGAUGGAUGGGUGGAUGGAUGAGGGGAUGGAUGGAUGAGGGGAUGGAUAGAUGGAUGGAUGGAUGUCUUAAAGCUCAGUCAUUUGUGCUACUAUUCACACUGGCUGCAAUUUGUGAGCUUGGAAAACCAGUCCUUUUUUCCAGCCUGAGGUAAGAUCUGAUUCUUCACAAGGCUGUUUCACUACUGACAUGUUUUCAUCAGAUACGUUUGCAUGUUCAUUAACUCAUGUAAACAUUAUUAAAAGGACUAUGUAAACAGCUUCCUACACGUUUCCUCUUGCUUUCAUUCAGGUAUAAUUAUAUGAAAACACAAUGUACCAUAUGUGCCAACGGGCCAUUCCCUUUCUUGUGCUUCCAAACGACAAUUCCCCUCUGCAAACACACUCAGAUACCAGGUCUUUACAUUUCUCCUUCUACUCCAAAUCUAAUCUGCCUUCUGAAGACAAAAAUCUCAAAGCCCCUGCCCAAUGAUAUGGCAGCCAACAAUGUCCAUUCUCACCCUAAUAUGGUCUAGGAACUCACUCUUACCUUUAAAAGUGCUUUGCAAAUUGUAAAAGGGUAUUCAAAAAUGGUUACUUCCUCCUUCACUGUACCCUUGUCACAACUAUUCAAAUAGUCAUAAACAUUCAAUGCUGCCAAACAUGAUGGUGGUUUCCAAUCCUCUUCACCCUACCCAAGUCCAACAUGUCACCCCUCCAAUAGUCACUAUGUCCCCUCACACAGGAAACAUCUCAGAAACAGGCAUGAGUGUCCUGACAGCUGCAGAGGAAUAAGUAUGCUGAAGGUCACUGAAAGUGACUGGCCAGCAGCCUCUAAAUCAGUUCUAUUUUCUUCCUGGCAUACUACUCGUCUAGAUCUUCCAGCCCCCUCCCUUGCAGUUAGGUAUGGCCAUGUGACCGAGUUCUAACACAGUGGUUCUCAACCAGGACAAUUUUGCCUCCCGGGGACAUCUAGCAAUGUCUGGAGAGGAGGCAACUGUGGUUGUCACAACUAGAGGAGAGAGGAGAGUUCUAUGGGAAUCUAGUGAGUCUCUGAGGCCAGAGAGCAUCCUGCUGAACAUUCCACAAUGCACAAGACAGCUCCUCACAACAAUAAACACCAUUCACAGGCUUUGUGGCUUUGUUCUAACUCUGAUUAGCCUUUGGCCAGCUCAAAUGCCCAUGGUGCCAAAACCCUACACUCACCCUGUACUAAUAGUUGAGAAACCCAGUUCUAACCAAUGGAAUGUGAGCUAAUGUGUUGGAGCCAAUUCCUUGCCUGAUCCAUAAAAACCAGCCAAGUGCAGUUGUCCAAGCUCUUUCCUCUUCCUUAGUCUGGGUGGAGAUGAUCCCAGGCAACUUGGAAGCCACACGCCGAAUACAAUGGGGCCACAAAAAUGGGAAGAGCUUACAUCUGUCACUGCUUGAAUGAGAGCUGUCUGCCCAUCAGUAACACACAUUUUACACUACGAAAUAAACUAGCAUGUUAGAGAUCUGGGUUUGUUCAAGAUACCAGCUGGCAUUAGCUAACUCAGUCACAAAUACUUUUGCUUGUUUUCUUGAAUAGAUUCUCCAAUAUAUGGAGCUCCAUUUGAGCCAACAUCACCUGGGGGACAUCUGGAUUGGCCAGUCCUAUUUCAAGUGGGAGAGGGAUCUCCAGGGUACAUUUCUCUGGAAAUCAACUUAUAACUGAUAUAACGAGCUGGCUUAUGCAAAGACACAGGAGGGGUCUGUGGGCCCAUUUAAGUCUCUGAGGAACUUUUGAAAUUGGUCCUCUUUAGAUAAGC
rnacentral:lncRNA from 1 species